CCUACGGGAGGCAGCAGUGAGGAAUAUUGGUCAAUGGGCGGAAGCCUGAACCAGCCAAGUAGCGUGCAGGAUGACGGCCCUACGGGUUGUAAACUGCUUUUAUACGGGAAUAACGCGCCUUACGUGUAGGGCUUUGCAUGUACUGUAUGAAUAAGGAUCGGCUAAUUCCGUGCCAGCAGCCGCGGUAAUACGGAAGGUCCGGGCGUUAUCCGGAUUUAUUGGGUUUAAAGGGAGCGUAGGCGGCUUGUCAAGCGUGCUGUGAAAUGUCCGGGCUCAACCCGGGCCUUGCAGCGCAAACUGGCAUGCUUGAGUCCGCGGAAGGCAGGCGGAAUUCGUCGUGUAGCGGUGAAAUGCUUAGAUAUGACGAAGAACCCCGAUUGCGAAGGCAGCUUGCUGCAGCGGAACUGACGCUGAUGCUCGAAAGCGCGGGUAUCGAACAGGAUUAGAUACCCGGGUAGUC
rnacentral:rRNA from 1 species